AUGCCUUCUUCUGGGGUACCGCUGCAUAGACCCUCAAUCUUUCCUGUUCCCUCAGCAAUGGCUGUCCAGUCUCCAGAACUGCCGGGAAUCCAACUCACUCCGCUGCACUCCUGUCCACUCACCUGCCUGCUCACCUGUUGUUGCCUGUUCCAUCUGUGCCCAGUGCUGUGCCCUCCUCUGCAGCCGCACUCCUGCCUACUCACCUGUCCACUCACCUGCUGUCGCCUGCUCCAUCUGUGCCCAGUGUUGUGCCCUCCACUGCAACCCCACCGGUUGUCCAGUCUCCAGAACUGCCCGGGAAUCCAACUCACUCUGCUGCAUUCCUGUCCACUCACCUGUCCACUCACCUGCCGUUGCCUCUUCCGUCUGUGCCCAGUGCUGUGCCCUCCUCUGCAGCCAGUGCCCAGUCUCAGUCCGCUGCACUCCUGUCUACUCACCUGUCCACUCACCUGCCGUUGCCUGUUCCUUCUGUGCCCAGUGCUGUGCCCUCCUCUGCAGUUCUGCUGGUCAGUGCCCAGUCUCAGUCCGCUGCACUCCUGUCCACUCACCUGCCCACUCACCUGCUGUUGCCUGCUCCGUCUGUGCCCAGUGCUGUGCCCUCCUCUGUACUCCUGUCUACCUUCCAUCACCAGCUACGUCUCUGCCCAGUGCCAUGCCUUCUUCUGGGGCACUGCUGCACAGACCCUCACCCUUUUCUAUUUCCUCAGCAAGAUUUUCUGUUUGUGAAAUUAAAUCCACAAAUCAUAUCAUUUCAAAUUGCAAAUGAAUCAGAUUUGAAUGUACAUAACACACCUAACCAGCAGUUCUAUAUUUCCAGGCUGUUGAUCAGCAAGGGGUUCCCGGUAUGGACAGGGCGGACGCGUUGGCAGAGUACUUGGUGGAACUGCGCAGUCAGACAGCUUUAACACUCACCAACCAGCAAGUGGCCACCAUUGUCAGUCUGUGGGACAACCUGGAACAGUUAGACAAGGACAUGGUAAUAUAUGCAGCACGGCACCAAGACCGGCUAGUCACUGGCCGUUUUAGGUCGCCGAAUAAGAAGGAUGUCUUUACACCAGGUGUAGACAGCACCAAAAGGUGUGUGCUCGGCUCCACAGGGUCUCCAGCACAAUGGCCCAACUGUUGCCGGCUCGUUGAGUUAAUCUUCAUACGGCUGUGUGACCUCCACAGAUCUCCUAAAAAAACAGGGCAUGGUUUCACAUUCGAGAUGGGAUCUGAUCCUGAGAGACUACAGGAGAAUCAGGCAACUUAUUCUGGGCAGUGGACAAAUAACUCAGCACACAACUCUGCAGCUUGUUGAGGUCAACGUGGCACAAUCAGCGGUUAAAGGGUCAGGAGGUGUCAGUUCUCGUACAAGGACUGCAGCUACCUGCGGCAAGACCUGUUGCAGUGCAGGCUCUCGCCCCUGCAAGAGAGCAGUCUGUCGUGGCUCCAACUUACGGCCACCAGCUGCACACUUACCAGUUGCCACUCAAAACAGCAGGUCAGGCAAAGACUAAAUUUAAAAAGAUUCUGCCCUCUGCUACCUGCCUGUCUGCCUCAACUACCUCUGUCACCUUUGUCCGUCAGUUCCCUUGUCUACAGCCCAAGCCAGCACAGCCAGUUCGUGGGACACCCGUUUUGUUGCUGCCCAGUGCUACCCCAUUGGCCCACCCACCUGCAGACACACAACAAACACCCACCCUUCCACCUGCAGACACAAAACGCAAGUAUACACGGAUUGUGACCUCAAAUGCAUGUCGUAAAUGUGGCCAGUUUCGCGCUGUGGAAACUGGCCACAGUCAGUAUAAAGGCAAAAUAUUUUGCCCAAACACUGAGGCAGUUACAAAAGAGGAGUGGCUACAACGUAUGAGGAUAUUGAAGUAGUUUAACUUAUUACUUUAAUAUUAAUAAAUAUUUUUUAUUACCAUCUAGUGUUAAUAAUUGUUCUAUCAAUAAAUCAGUUUUUCUUGAUUGCUUAUAUGCGCUGGGAUCCACUCGACUGUUUGUACAGUAUAGGCCUAUUUAUCUGUGGUUAUUGUUGAUCUUGUAUAUCAAUAUCUUUGUAAUAUUUUUAUAAAUCUUUAUAUCUUUAUAAAUCUAAAAUGUAUGUUUUAUUAUUCUGGUUCCUUUUCAGUCAGAAAGUAAUCACUGACCUGACUGAAAUAACUGACUGACCUGACCUAAUUGCCCUUUUGCCUAGAAAAUGUGAAAUGUUGGGCAUAGUGUUGUGUUAAUAAAUAUAUUUCCUUGUGGAAUUGAUUAUGUUGUGUUGUAUUCAUUUACAGUGCGUUCUAGAAGCACGUAUAAUAUCAAGAAGCUGCUUGCAGUUUGAAUGAGACAUUACAAUAUAUACAUACACAAACAUAUAGGACACAAGUAAAUGCCUUUAAAUGGACAAAUAUUUUUAUUUUGGACAAAGUCUUUAAUAAUUUACUUCAAAAAUUACAAAACUUUAUGAAAAGAUAAGGAAUUGAUUGUAAAACAAGCAAAUUUAAAAAUUAAAUCUGUUUAUUUGCUCUUGCUCUGGUCUGGAUUCGAACCUGCGACUUGCUGGAAUAUCUUCCCCUUUUCUCCCCCUUUCUUCCCCUUCUUAUACGGACGAAUGUUCACCAG
rnacentral:lncRNA from 15 species